rnacentral:rRNA from 1 species
CAGCAGCCGCGGUAAUACGAAGGGUGCAAGCGUUAACCGGAAUUACUGGGCGUAAAGCGUGCGUAGGCGGUGAGUUAAGUCUGCUGUGAAAUCCCCGGGCUCAACCUGGGAAUGGCAGUGGAUACUGGCUCGCUAGAGUGUGUCAGAGGAUGGUGGAAUUCCCGGUGUAGCGGUGAAAUGCGUAGAGAUCGGGAGGAACAUCAGUGGCGAAGGCGGCCAUCUGGGACAACACUGACGCUGAGGCACGAAAGCGUGGGGAGCAAACAGGAUUAGAUACCCGAGUAGUCCCUGUCUCUUAUAC